GUGUCUGUAGCUCAGCAGGAUAGAGCAACGGCCUUCUAAGCCGUUGGCCGGACGUUCGAAUCGUCUCAGACACGCCA
rnacentral:tRNA from 1 species